GACAUCCAUCUUUUCCCCAUUGGAGCUGUCCUUUGUUCAUAGGAGUUUUUGACUCAGAGAGGAGCUGUAUUUGCUCGACUGCAUCCAUUGGGUUUAUGUCAUUCCCUCAGUCCUGCUUCUCCCAAUUUCCCUCUGCAGAAGAUCAGCCCCUCACCCAGGGAUCCUUGUGGGUCUGUCUUCAUUUGCUGUCAUGCAGGAUCGAGGUGAAGCCAACCAGCCCAGUCCACUGGGAUUGUUUGCCAUAGCAGGGCAUGCUGUUUUUAGGGAAGGGGACAUUUUUGCAGGGCUCUGGAUACUCUGGACAGAUGUCUUCUCUUUCCUAGUAAGAAACUCAAAAUGUACUUGUCCAAUGACAGACAUUAAACUAGAAAAGUAGGUUGGCAUUUUAUUAUAGAAGGUCUUGGAUGCCAUGAUGAAGAAUUUGUACUUUAUUCUGUUCCCACUAGGUAGGUGACUGAAGGAAAUAUGGUGGUCAUUAACAUCUUGUGUAUCAGUCUGACAGUAUCCUAAUAUGUUACUCCCUCUCUGAUAACAUUUGCAUUUUCAAAGUAAACAGCAAUGGUGAAAUUUUUGGUACUAUAGCAGGCUAGUAGGAGAGAUUCCUGGAGUAAGAAAUUGCUUAUGUAUUCUUUAAAUUAAGAUUUGUAAGCUUAAUCUUCCUAUGUGGAAGACUGGCCAUAAUUGGAAGCCUUGAUUGUCAUGAGUUGGGUUAACUGUCAAGGCCAUGGAUGUCAUAUGCAGGUUAGGAAUAUAUCUUGACUAGUUUCUUGAUAACAAAGAAUCUAUCAAUUGUGAGUGGUUCUUAUUUGUCUUGUUCCAUAUACUUGCUAAUCAUGCCUAGAGCAAGCAAUCUUUUGAAGAGAACCAUUUCACAUCAGCCUUUCUCGUCUAGCUCUCUUUGAAAUGCCCUCCCUCAUCCCAGACCCAGCAUAUAUCUCUCUUGCAGGCUUCUGAGGAAGGGAAGAAAGGAAAGAGAAAGGAGUUUGUAGAAAAAGUAAAAAAAAAUUUCAAUUUCUUCUCCCUGUAAAUGAGAACAAACAGCCUGUGUUACAAGGACUUUUCUAUUUGCAAAUACCCCCAGGGUGUUCUGCAAAAAUCUGACCAAAGAGCAUCAGAUAUGAAUUUACCCAAUACCAGGUCAGGAUGAUUACACAUAUUUCUUCUCCCAUUUCUCUAUUACAUAGUGUGUGUGCAAAGGGAUCUGAAAAAAAAACAUAGCAAUUAUUGGAUCAACUAGUUACCUUUCCAAUUUAGGGGAACAUGCAGGGGAAAAAAGCAAAUAAAACAUAUGGAAAAAGUCUUUCUUGCUUAGAG
rnacentral:lncRNA from 1 species